AGCUGUUAUUAAAGGAAUACGUCUUGAGUGUGUACAAUAAGGUCAACUGCACAUACAUGCAAACAAUAAAGCUCGCAGGCUUAAAAAUUAUGUCUUCAAGCCAUUUAUGUUCCAGUGUUUAUUCCGAGUAGGCGAGGGCAUCGUGCUAGCAGCUCCAGUCAUGUUAUUGGCACUGAACGAGGUAGGCUUCCUUCAAUAUACCCACAAGCGGUACUCCCGCACCGCCGUCGUUCAUUCUUCUCUGUAAGACUGACGGCUAGAAGCAACUUGUUAAAAGUGUAAUUGGAACAACAAACAUGAAAUCAGCGGAAACCAGGAAUGCUGCACUUGUGAAUCGAAAUAUAUGCGUCUUACUUCUCCUGUAGCUGCUCUCUAUAUAACGCCUUCAAAAAGUUUGGGUAGCAACUACAGCAAGUUUUGUGCUAUUUCACGUUCAUAUUCCACGCAUGACGUCUUCUAAUUUUGUUCAAAGGCACUGCAAAUGUAAACUUUUCUUUUUUAAUAGAUGUAGCAAAGCGAAUGAAAAGGGCAAGGCGAAAUAAAUGAGAAAGCAGCAGGGAGCUCAGCCUCACACAUCAGCAGACAUGCGUCGUAUACGUUUUCGUGACGUCAUUUUUCGACAGUACAUACGAUCCCGCUUCCAUAUUCGAGCUUGUUUUUGCUUCUGCGUCUUAUUCUGAAUAAGGAUAACUAUAGUAGGUCAGACCGCUUCCAACUAUUGAUAUAGUUAAGCUUUUUUGUUAACUUUCGUGCGGGAAAUCUACCCGAUGACUUUUCAGCCAUGUCUGAAUAUAAGCAAUCAUUCUUGAGUCAUACAUUCGGAACAGCGGCAGACCGUUUACAGAAGAACAGCCAUGAAAAUGGCAGUUUUGAGCUUUCUUAUUGUCGCUUACUGUGCUGCAGACGUCAACGGCGACCCCGACACAGCAAACUGUUCUAAUGAACUGCUGCCAAAUGAAGGAGAUUCGAUUCUCGACAUGGCCAUGAUGAAAUUCUUCACGUCUCAACGGCUCAAGAGUGUGUUUAUUCCGGAGUUCAACUAUACCACACGUGUAGGCUUGAUGGAUUGGCAUCUGGAGUUUUACAACGGAACUAUAUUGGGCUUGAAGUCUAUUAAAAGAGUUGGAAGCAACUACUUUAAAGCAAGGCGGAAUGAAACAAUGCGGAUCCAUGCGGCUUUCGAGCUAAGGGGACUCAAUGUCUCUAUCGCCUUUAGAAGGAAAAGGUUAAUAGGGUACAUGUACGCUCGUGCUGAAGUUUUCGCUCCUCUCAUUACAUUCGUCGCAGAAAUACAAGAGAUUAACAAGACACUCAAGCUUGUGCAGCUUAAUUUUCACACAGCCGAUCUCCACAUUCGCUUUCGAUUCCGUGGCAUACUGCGAGUUUUAAACAGGAUGGAGAGACUACAAAAAAUGAUCAACAGGAAGAUAAAUGAGAAACUGCAAUCUGAACUUUCCUAUGUUGUGGGUGAAAUUGUCGACGCACUUGGACAACGGCGCUCGGGAAAACAGCUGCAAUGCACGAACUGUACGAUGUUUGAAGUGGCUCUCCAAAAUACGCUUCUGAGGUAUGGCCUUAGACCCUACCCCGCUACCCACACUCACGAGAGACAUGUUUGCAAACCUCGCUGAGGUAAAAGUUACCAAUGGGACCAUCCGAGGUCUGUCCAAGUUGCGCCAAUCAGGCGACAUCGUCGCUAGCAUUGAUAACUGCGGUGCGCACGCCUUCAUCGAUGUGACAGUCCACAACCUAUCGGUGACACUUGAUGUCAAUGUCACCACAAUGCUGACCGAUAUCACUGCCAUCGUGAGCGUCAACAUCUCAGCGCGGGCAAUCAUCGAGAUUCUCGAGCGAAACGCCACCCUUGUGUUGGAAAAGCUGAAUGUGAAUAUAACAGAUGCAGUACACGUCAGUGUUACGCCUAUAGGAGCAAUCAGUUAUUUCGUAGCAUUUUUGCUACCACCGAAAUUUAUCGCUGAAUUACUAAGAAGAAAUCUUCAGCAACUCACAAAUAGUACUAUACAAAGUGGCCUUCAAUCACUGCAUAAUUUUGCUCAUGGAUAUGCAUCAAAUGUUGCAUAGGUGCCUAAUAAGCAAAAUGUGCUUCCGAACAAUAAAAUGAGCAUGUUAC